rnacentral:misc_RNA from 1 species
AGGACUCUAUAUGGUGUACAUUUACCUUUGGCCGGAGCACUUCUCACCCAUACAAACCGGUUGGUGAAAUACUGGAUGAUAUUCUCACUGGCAAAAUCAACGUCAACUCAAUUCACACUAUUUCCGUGUACAAAAAAGGAUGGUCGGUGAUUCCUCGUUCACAACAGUAUGGUACAGCUGAACUAAAACAGACUGAAAUUAUGAGCAAAACAACAAACGAAAAAGUUAUAGGAAAUACAAAAAACACAGAAAUUGAACUGACUGUUGUUAAUGGGCCUAACAUUUCUGGAAUCCACGAUCACAAUACCCUUUUAAGACUAAAUUCAGGGACAUCUGGAGAGUUGGAGGAUAGUAAUAUUGCAGUGACCAUACGUGACAUGAUUCAUGGUGGAUCUCAAGAACUUUCCGUCUCUAGAUCUUUCCAUUGUCGGUCUUAUUUUGGUUUUUUCGUGAUUGUUUUUUUCAUUGUUUCAUUAGCAUGGGUUAUAAGCCAAACAACAGCUUAAAUGAAAUAUCCAUGCUUUAUUUGUAAGUUUGUUUUCUGACAUUUAUUUAUUACGUAUAAACAUUACAUUGGUUUGAUCAGAAUGUAUUUUAUAUAUUUUUUAUUCUGUAAAUAAAAAUUACGUGUGUUC